AGUCAGCUCUAUAGGUUCUGCAUUUCCUGUUCACGGCAGGUGGCGGUGGGGUGGUAUAUCUAGCGUUUAUCCUAAAAGUCAUUCAUGUGGCAACGGCCAUCACGCACAAGACAUCAAUUUUGUCGGCCAGCUUAUUAAUACUGACAGUAGGACGUUUGUUUGGGAGAAAAACAAGCCUUACAUCGUGAUAACUGGUGCAGGCUGUUACUGGGUGAAAAUAGGAGCAUUUGCAUCCAAGUCAAGCUCACCGCCAUCGCUACAGAUUACCAUUGACGAGGAGCCAGUUGCACUGUUCAACAGUUCAGGAAAAUCUCCGACCAGUUACAAAAUAAGUGUGACAUCUUCAGCUCCUAAGAGCCAGUCCAACCCGUCCCGACAUCGAUCAGACGUAUCACCAUGGCGACCAGGUUCCAGUCUAUCGGGUGCCAUCUUGGUACCGGGCCACAGUCGACUGGGGAUCUGGGCCGCUAGUACAGUAAGUGGAACAAGGCUCGCUGUGGAAGGCUAUCUAGAAAUACAUAAAGUGUACUAAAACACGCACUAAAUCCGCGAAAUAAAUAUUCUAAUUCCUAUUAUAUAGUGUUGAUGACAUGAUGGAAAACAAAAGUAUUGUUUAAUACCUAUUUUGCACUAUUUCUGUUUCACGCAUUCAGUGCGUCUAUACUCUAACUCCAGCAAUAGAGUCAUUUUCAUCAGACUGUGAAAUAGGAAGUGUACUAUUAAAUACUAUUACCCCCUAUUAGCUCCCAAUAAUUUAACUUAUGACAUGGGACAA